UACAGAGGGGGCAAGCGUUGUUCGGAAUUACUGGGCGUAAAGGGCGCGUAGGCGGCCUGUUAAGUCGAACGUGAAAUCCCCGGGCUCAACCCGGGAACUGCGUCCGAUACUGGCAGGCUUGAAUCCGGGAGAGGGAUGCGGAAUUCCAGGUGUAGCGGUGAAAUGCGUAGAUAUCUGGAGGAACACCGGUGGCGAAGGCGGCAUCCUGGACCGGUAUUGACGCUGAGGCGCGAAAGCGUGGGGAGCAAACAGG
rnacentral:rRNA from 1 species